GUGAUAUUGGUUCGGCUCACUAAUUUCUGAUUCAUGAAACAGAUUAGAGAUGAGCCGAACCAAUAUCACUC